rnacentral:rRNA from 1 species
GAUGAACGCUAGCGGCAGGCCUAACACAUGCAAGUCGAGGGAGGAGCUUUCGGGCUUCGACCGGCGUACGGGUGCGUAACGCGUAUACAAUCUGCCUUUCACAUAGGGAUAGCCCGAAGAAAUUUGGAUUAAUACCUAAUGGUAUAUAGGAGUGGCAUCACAUUUAUAUUAAAGCUGAGGCGGUGAAAGAUGAGUAUGCGUUCUAUUAGCUAGUUGGAGAGGUAACGGCUCCCCAAGGCGACGAUAGAUAGGGGUUCUGAGAGGGAUAUCCCCCACACUGGUACUGAGAUACGGACCAGACUCCUACGGGAGGCAGCAGUGAGGAAUAUUGGACAAUGGUCGGAAGACUGAUCCGGCCAUCCCGCGUGCAGGAAGACGGCCUUAGGGGUUGUAAACUGCUUUUGCAGGGGAAGAAUAAGGACUACGAGUAGUUUGAUGACGGUACUCUGCGAAUAAGCAUCGGCUAACUCCGUG